AUCUCUCUCUCUCUCUCUCUCUCUCUCUCUCACACACACACACACAGAGAGAGAGAGAGAGAGAGAGAGAGAGAG